GUGCUCACUUUGGCAGCACAUGUACUAGAAUUUAAUGAUACAGAGAAGAUUAGUAUAGUCCCUGUGCAACGAUGACAUGCAAAUUAAUAAAGUGUUUCUUAAUUUU